AGUGAACGCUGGCGGUAGGCCUAACACAUGCAAGUCGAACGGCAGCACAGUAAGAGCUUGCUCUUACGGGUGGCGAGUGGCGGACGGGUGAGGAAUACAUCGGAAUCUACUUUUUCGUGGGGGAUAACGUAGGGAAACUUACGCUAAUACCGCAUACGACCUACGGGUGAAAGCAGGGGAUCUUCGUACCUUGCGCGAUUGAAUGAGCCGAUGUCGGAUUAGCUAGUUGGCGGGGUAAAGGCCCACCAAGGCGACGAUCCGUAGCUGGUCUGAGAGGAUGAUCAGCCACACUGGAACUGAGACACGGUCCAGACUCCUAAGGGAGGCAGCAGUGGGGAAUAUUGGACAAUGGGCGCAAGCCUGAUCCAGCCAUACCGCGUGGGUGAAGAAGGCCUUCGGGUUGUAAAGCCCUUUUGUUGGGAAAGAAAAGCAGCAGGUUAAUAACCCGCUGUUCUGACGGUACCAAAAGAAUAAGCACCGGCUAACUUCGUG
rnacentral:rRNA from 1 species